rnacentral:rRNA from 1 species
UGGGGAAUAUUGCACAAUGGGCGAAAGCCUGAUGCAGCAACGCCGCGUGAGGGACGACGGCCUUCGGGUUGUAAACCUCUUUUAGCAAGGAAGAAGCGAAAGUGACGGUACUUGCAGAAAAAGCGCCGGCUAACUACGUGCCAGCAGCCGCGGUAAUACGUAGGGCGCAAGCGUUAUCCGGAAUUAUUGGGCGUAAAGAGCUCGUAGGCGGUUUGUCGCGUCUGCUGUGAAAACCCGAGGCUCAACCUCGGGCCUGCAGUGGGUACGGGCAGACUAGAGUGCGGUAGGGGAGAUUGGAACUCCUGGUGUAGCGGUGGAAUGCGCAGAUAUCAGGAAGAACACCGAUGGCGAAGGCAGAUCUCUGGGCCGUAACUGACGCUGAGGAGCGAAAGGGUGGGGAGCAAACAGGCUUAGAUGACCCUGGUAGUCCACCCCGUAAACGCUGGGAACUAGUUGU